rnacentral:rRNA from 1 species
ACGAGAGGACCGGAGUGGACGCACCUCUGGUGUACCGGUUGUCCUGCCAAGGGCACCGCCGGGUAGCUAUGUGCGGAAGGGAUAACCGCUGAAAGCAUCUAAGCGGGAAGCUCGCCUCGAGAUGAGGUCUCCCAUCCCCUAUGAGGGAGUAAGACUCCUGGUAGACUAACAGGUUGAUAGGCCACAGGUGUACGCACAGCGAUGUGUUUAGCCGAGUGGUACUAAUAAGUCGAGGGCUUAAUGGU